rnacentral:rRNA from 1 species
AUGGCGGGGGACUCCAAGAAGGAGAAGGCUGUGGAGAGGAGUGACCCGACGGCCAACCUCACCGAUGACCACCUCGUGGAGAUCAUCUCGCGUGUUCCGUACAAGUCCACCUGCUGCUGCAAGUGCGUCUCCACGCGCUGGCGCGACCUCUUCUCCCACCCUGACCACCGCAAGAAGAUGCCACAGUCCCUCGCCGGAUUCUUCUAUGAGGUCAAGGGGGUUUGCUAUUUCACCAACGUCUCAGGAAAAGAUGACUCUCCCGUCCUCUCAUUCUUGCCAAGAGAAUGUCACAGCCUUGACAUCUUGGACUGCUGCAAUGGUUUCCUCAUCUGCCGCUGCUGGAAGGCGACUGAUCCUGAGACACUGGAUUACAUCGUCUGUAAUCCCGCCACUGAGAAAUGGGUGGUUGUUCCUCCAACCAGCUGGUCCAGCGAGGUGGAGGUCGCUCGCUUGGGGUUCGACCCUUUGGUCUCCUCCCACUUUCAUGUGUUCGAAUUCAUAAUUGAUGAGACCUGGCUUGAAUAUGAGGAUGACAGCAGAUGCCUUAAUUAA